AGAGUUUGAUCAUGGCUCAGGAUGAACGCUGGCGGCGUGCUUAACACAUGCAAGUCGAACGGAUUAUGAUGAAACCUAGUGAUUCAUAAAUUAGUGGCGGACGGGUGAGUAACGCGUGGGUAACCUGCCUCAUACCGGGGGAUAACACUUAGAAAUAGGUGCUAAUACCGCAUAAGCGCACAGCUUCACAUGAAGCAGUGUGAAAAACUCCGGUGGUAUGAGAUGGACCCGCGUCUGAUUAGCUGGUUGGUGAGGUAACGGCCCCACCAAGGCGACGAUCAGUAGCCGGCCUGAGAGGGUGAACGGCCACAUUGGGACUGAGACACGGCCCAAACUCCUACGGGAGGCAGCAGUGGGGAAUAUUGGACAAUGGGGGAAACCCUGAAUCCAGCGACGCCGCGUGAGUGAAGAAGUAUUUCGGUAUGUAAAGCUCUAUCAGCAGGGAAGAAAAUGACGGUACCUGACUAAGAAGCCCCGGCUAACUACGUGCCAGCAGCGGC
rnacentral:rRNA from 1 species